rnacentral:rRNA from 1 species
AGUGAACGCUGGCGGSAGGCCUAACACAUGCAAGUCGAASGGCAGCACAGUAAGAGCUUGCUCUUAUGGGUGGCGAGUGGCGGACGGGUGAGGAAUACAUCGGAAUCUGCCUAUUUGUGGGGGAUAACGUAGGGAAACUUACGCUAAUACCGCAUACGACCUACGGGUGAAAGCGGAGGACCUUCGGGCUUCGCGCAGAUAGAUGAGCCGAUGUCGGAUUAGCUAGUUGGUGGGGUAAAGGCCCACCAAGGCGACGAUCCGUAGCUGGUCUGAGAGGAUGAUCAGCCACACUGGAACUGAGACACGGUCCAGACCCUACGGGAGGCAGCAGUGGGGAAUAUUGGACAAUGGGCGCAAGCCUGAUCCAGCCAUGCCGCGUGAGUGAAGAAGGCCCUUGGGUUGUAAAGCUCUUUUGUUGGGGAAGAAAAGCAAUCGGUUAAUACCUGGUUGUUCUGACGGUWCCCAAAGGAUAAGCACCGGCUAACUUCGUGC